GGCGAGAGAGCUUAAUCAGGAUCACACAACAAUAAUGAAUGGAAACGCGUCGCAGCCAAGAAAGUUGAGCAGCAGUUUGAAGUAACUUCGGGAGGGAUGCGCGAUCUGCGAGUAAUGGACGGGCCCGGAGAAGAAGGAGCUGCUCUGGAGAGGAGAAAGUUUCAUCUCUUUUAAAUCCAUGACAAUAGCUUUCUGAAGGGAGGACAGUGGAAAUACAGUGUGAAGCUCGACAUGGAGAUACACGCGUAAAUGGCACAGAGGGACAGUAACAGCAGACUCCUGCGCUGUCAGCCUUCAAUCCGGAGAAGUGGAUUAUCUGGAUUCGAACGUCCAUGAGACUCUCGGGAAUACUUGGAAUGAGAUUUUCAUAUUUGCUUUUUUAAACUUGGAUUUAUUAUUUUUAUUUUUGUUGUUGUUGUUAUUGAUCGUGAGUGAAAUAAGUUGAAGGAUUUGGCCCCAGGGAGAAGAUGGGCAACAUAGAGAGCGUGGACGGCCAGUCGGACAUGAUGAAGCAUCACAUCAUGCCCCUGAAGGUGCCCAUGCCCGACCCGAACGAGCUGGAGGAGAAAUUUGCCAUUGUUUUGAAUUCUAUGAACCUGCCUCCAGACAAAGCCCGGCUCCUCAGACAGUAUGACAAUGAGAAGAAAUGGGACCUGAUCUGCGACCAGGAGAGGUUUCAGGUGAAGAAUCCGCCGCACACCUACAUCCAGAAGCUGCGAGGCUACUUAGACCCCGGGGUCACGCGCAAGAAGUUCCGCAGGCGGGUGCAGGAAUCCACAAAAGUCCUGAGGGAGCUGGAGAUAUCGCUGCGGACAAACCACAUCGGGUGGGUGAGGGAGUUCCUCAAUGAUGAGAACAGAGGUCUCGACGUCCUGGUGGAGUAUCUCUCCUUUGCUCAGUGUGCUGUCAUGUUUGAUUUUGAGGGGCUGGAGAAUGGGGAGGAAGGCUUCUUGGACAAGUCUAAGUCUUGGAGCAGGUCUAUUGAAGAUCUGCACCAUUCGGGCACCCAACCCUUCUGCAACACACUGGUGCGCUCUGCCCGCCAGUCUGUCCUCCGCUAUGGCUCAGUCUCCACCACCAAAACCAUCAAAAACUCCCGCCUUGUGAGCCAGAAGGAUGAUGUGCACGUGUGCAUCAUGUGCUUGAGAGCAAUCAUGAACUACCAGUAUGGCUUCAAUAUGGUCAUGUCUCACGCACACGCAGUCAAUGAAAUUGCUCUCAGCUUGAACAAUAAGAACUCACGGACGAAAGCUUUGGUCCUUGAGCUGCUGGCUGCCGUCUGUCUGGUCCGAGGAGGUCACGAGAUCAUCCUUUCAGCGUUUGAUAACUUCAAAGAGGUGUGUAAGGAGAAGCAUCGCUUUGAGAGACUGAUGGACCACUUCCGCAGUGAGGAGGGAAACAUCGACUUCAUGGUUGCUUGCAUGCAGUUCGUCAACAUCGUGGUCCACUCGGUUGAGGACAUGAACUUCAGGGUCCACCUGCAGUAUGAAUUCACCAAGCUGGGACUGGAUGAUUACCUGGAGAAAUGUAAACACACAGAGAGUGACAAGCUGUCGGUGCAGAUCCAGGCCUACCUGGACAACGUCUUCGACGUGGGUGGGCUGCUGGAGGACGCAGAGACCAAGAAUGCGGCGCUGGAGAAGGUGGAAGAACUGGAGGAGCACCUGUCCCAUGUGACGGAGCGGGUGCUGGAGGUUGAGAAUGAGACGAUGAUGAAAGUAGCUGAUCUGGAGAAGCUGCUCCUUCAGAAAGAUAAGGACCUGCUAGCAAUCCGGGAGACGUACGAGUCGACCAACACCCAGGUCAACACCCUGAGGAGGGUGAUCAAGGAGAAGGACGCCGCCUUCCAGAGGUCCUUCAACAUCGAGAGGCGGCUGCUGGAGCUGGAGCAGCAGGGCACCAUCCGUUUGCACAAGAAGCCCGAUGGAGACAUUGCCAUCGAGACGCUUGGUGUGGGUGGUGGGGGGGGCACUGGCCUCGGGAUCCCUCUGGGUGACAUCGGGCAGCUGUCUCUGGUCCCGACAGCAGGAUGGACGGAACCGGGAGGGCCAGACAGCAGUUUACCCCCAGCCAGUGAAGCACCCCCACCGCCUCCCCCACCUCCACCACCUCCCCCUCCCCUGCCCUCAGCCUUAGGCGUAGGUCCACCAGCCCCACCACCGCUUCCUCCCCUUGGUCCACCUCUGCCAGAUGCUUGUCCCUCAGUUAUCCUGAGUUUGGGUCUAUCAGCCAUCAGAAUCAAGAAGCCCAUCAAGACGAAGUUCCGCCUGCCUGUGUUCAACUGGACGGCCCUGAAGCCCAAUCAGAUCAAUGGAACGGUCUUCAAUGAGAUUGAUGAUGAACGUGUGUUGGAGGAGCUGGAUGUGGAGAGGUUUGAGGAGCUCUUUAAAACCAGAGCCCAGGGUCCGAUUGUGGACCACCCCUGCACAAAGAGCAAAGUGGCCCAGAAGACGGUGAACAAAGUCACCCUGUUGGAAGCCAAUCGCUCCAAGAACCUGGCCAUCACGCUGCGGAAGGCCAACAAGUCCUCAGAGGAGAUCUGCAAAGCAAUAGAGAAGUUUGACCUCAAGGCCUUACCCGUGGACUUCGUGGAGUGCCUGAUGCGCUUCCUGCCCACGGAGACGGAGGUCAAGGUGCUGCGUCAGUACGAGCGCGAGCGGCGACCGCUGGACCAGCUGGCGGAGGAGGACCGCUUCAUGCUGUUAUUCAGCAAGAUUGAGAGACUCACGCAGAGGAUGAACAUCAUCACCUUUGUCGGGAACUUUGCCGACAACGUCAGCAUGCUCACGCCGCAGCUCAACGCCGUCAUCGCUUCUUCGGGAUCGGUCAAAUCCUCACCCAAGCUGAGGAGGGUGCUUGAGAUCAUCUUAGCUUUGGGGAACUACAUGAACAGCAGCAAGAGAGGAUGUGUUUAUGGCUUCAAAUUACAAAGUCUUGAUCUGCUGUUGGACACUAAGUCCACCGACAGAAAAAUGACGUUGCUCCACUACAUAGCUCUCAUCAUAAAAGAGAAAUUCCCUGAACUGGCCAACUUCUGCAAUGAACUUCACUUUGUGGAUAAAGCUGCAGCGGUGUCUCUGGAGAAUGUGCUGCUGGAUGUGCGAGAGCUGGGGAAAGGCAUGGACCUGAUCCGCAGAGAGUGCAGUCUCCACGACCACUCGGUCCUGAAGGCCUUCGUCCAGGCCAAUGAAUCACAGCUGGACAAGCUGCAGAAGGACGCCAAGACAGCCGAGGAAGCCUUCAACAAUGUGGUGAACUACUUCGGGGAGAGCGCCAAGACGACUCCACCCGCGGUGUUCUUCCCCGUGUUUGUGCGCUUCAUCAGAGCCUACAAGGAUGCAGUGGUGGGAAACGAGCAGAGGAAGAAGCAGGAGGAAGCAAUGAGAGAGAAGUUAUUGGCUCAGGAGGCUAAACAGCAGGAACCUAAGGUCCAGGCCCAGAAGAAGAGGCAGCAGCAGGAGCUGAUCGCAGAGCUGCGCAAGCGGCAAGCCAAGGACCACCGGCCCGUGUACGAGGGCAAGGACGGCACCAUUGAGGAUAUCAUUACAGUACUGAAGAGCGUGCCCUUCACAGCCCGCACUGCUAAACGCGGCUCACGGUUCUUCUGUGAAGCCAACCUCUGCGACGACGCCAACUGCUAGCCCUCCCCUCCCUAAUGCCAAGGUUGUCCAGGUGUCUCUCGUGCGCCUCCCGACCACUGUGCAUGCAGCAUGACCACCCCACCUCCUCCACCCUCCAUCAACCCCCUUACCCUAUGAACUAACUUGGGCCAUUACCGGUUGUUUGUGUUACUACCACUAGAGAAGACUCCUAUCAGGCCAUUUGGGUGAUAGGAGUCGGCCAAACCUCUUUGCCUGACGCAGAGCUACAUGGAACAGAAAGGAAAAAAGAGAAGUGUCAGCAUAUUGUUGCGCGCGAAAAAUAUAUGGAGACACUCACAGUGCAAUCAGACGUGAUGAAAUGAUCACGUCAGAGCAUCAUGCAUGAUACUUCUAAAAGGCUGUGCAUCAUUUUUGGCAUCGUUUCUUUUCAUGAAGCUGACGAUAAAGAGGUUUGGCUAAUUGUUUUGGUUUUUUUAUAUCAACGAUGCUUUGUUCCAUGAAACUAACUUGUUUGGUGUUGGGUUUUUUUUCCGGCUAACAUGUGACUCUUCUUUCCUCAACCACCACUGUUGAUUCUACCCCUCCCUUUCAGCUGAGAAGAAGAUUAAUGACAGUAUUUCCCACUCCUAAGAGAGGGUAAGGAAGAUCUUCGAAGCCAGCCCUUCCUGCGAGCUGAUGCGUUGAUCCGAAACGGUUGGAAGAGACCCUAAACCACUUAUUCAUCACUUAGCGCUCCCCUCCCCAUUUAAACCCCCCCCCCCCCCCCCACCCCCGCGUCCCGAUGGUCCAUCUCAACCCUGAGGCUGCAGAUCACAAAGACUCAAAAUAAAAAAGGGAGGACAGGACAGAGCCCUCUGUGUUAGCUGGGUAAUUUAUUUAUUUAUGGAGGCCAUUAACCGCCACUUGAAGCGAGCAAAGGCGUCGUUCCAGGAGCUCAGUGGUUUACUCCUCUCUCGCUGCACGUAUGAGACUUGCACUGCUCUGUUGGCGUGGAGGGCCCGACCAGUCGGAGCACAGGUGGGGUGAGGUGAGGACUGGAGGACCACAGCGCAGACGGAGUUGUACUUUCACUAACAAGUGCCUGCCAACAUGUGGAUCUUAUUCCCGAGACCAUUAAUUUCCUCGGAUGAUGCAGUCAUAGCAGGACUUAGACUGGGAGGCAGCCAAGGGAAGAUGCCAACCACGCUGCUGGGAUGUUUUGCCUCCAAGACACUUGCAAAAAAGAAAAAACCUUCCUCCAAAUCAUCGAGAAGCUACUCAACACAUCCAAUCACGACUUAAUACCGACAAUGUUUUGUUUAGAUUUCAAUCACAUGUAUCUCGGAGGAAAGGGCAUCUACAGUGCAGGUUCCUUUUGGGGACAAGCUAGCCAAACCAAACUUUCUUGAAUGUCUCAUGUUGUUGUUUUAAGAAGUGCCUUUUAUUUCCUGUGUAACCAGUGUUAUUUCUCAUGGUUCAGCCAUAAUAAGUUUGUUUUACACCCGUCAUUCGUUAAAUAUUGUUUUCAUUGCCUUGUACUUGUAACAUUAGCCUUAUAAUACCGACGAUAAUAUGCAAAAAGUGUAAAUCUCCAGAUCUUAAGGCACAUGAGAAGAAGGAGAAGAAGGGUUUGAGGAUCGCUCUUCUAUUUACCUUUAGUGCAUCGAUGUCUUAAAGCUUCCUCGGAUUUGACUUGAGUCAUUAUGUUUCUGUGCCUUGUUAGAAACUGAAUGUUGAACGCCUUGACAACACUUCCUGUCACACUUUGAAGUGACAUUAUGGAAGUGACACCUGUAUGAAGAAGCGGACUGCUGUUUGAGGCCUCGGAUGACGUUAACCUGCUAUAGAUGUGGUGAUGGAUGAAGGAUGUUUCCAAUCUUAAAGAGAUGUUGUUUGUGAAGAUUUGUCUUAUAUCCUAGAAGGUGAGUUUCCUCCCAACAGCUGUGGAGACUUCCAGCCCGGGUUGUAACUUAAGGGAGCGACACUUUGUACACUAAUUCAUUUGGCUUUCGUUGUAUGAGACACUAUUCUUUACAUUAAUGUACAUUGAAAUCAAGAAAUUUACUUUUUAGAAGAAAUUAUCCAUUAUAUUUGUCUAUUGACUGAAAGAUGACACUUUCUUUUUUAAUAAACAAGAUGAAUUAUCUAA